rnacentral:rRNA from 1 species
GAUGAACGCUGGCGGCGUGCCUAAUACAUGCAAGUCGAGCGAACAGACGAGGAGCUUGCUCCUCUGACGUUAGCGGCGGACGGGUGAGUAACACGUGGAUAACCUACCUAUAAAACUGGGAUAACUUCGGGAAACCGGAGCUAAUACCGGAUAACAUGUUGAACCGCAUGGUUCAACAGUGAAAGACGGUCUUGCUGUCACUUAUAGAUGGAUCCGCGCCGCAUUAGCUAGUUGGUAAGGUAACGGCUUACCAAGGCAACGAUGCGUAGCCGACCUGAGAGGGUGAUCGGCCACACUGGAACUGAGACACGGUCCAGACUCCUACGGGAGGCAGCAGUAGGGAAUCUUCCGCAAUGGGCGAAAGCCUGACGGAGCAACGCCGCGUGAGUGAAGAAGGUCUUCGGAUCGUAAAACUCUGUUAUUAGGGAAGAACAAAUGUGUAAGUAACUAUGCACGUCUUGACGGUACCUAAUCAGAAAGCCACGGCUAACUACGUG